rnacentral:lncRNA from 1 species
UUCCCAUAGAUAAAAGUUGAAAGAAUCCAGACUGAGAACAGCACAUUGAAAAGUGUGAGAUAUAUUCAGAAGGUCUCUUCUCAGAGUUUUGGGAGGAUAUUAAGUCCUCUGUUAAAACCUCAGUCAUCUGAAGCCUUUGAAUCAUCAUGAACUUCGAGCCUGUACAUAUUCACAGAGUGCCAAAAGGCUCCUGCUGCCUGGUGGUUUGGAGUUUGGCCUUCAGAGGAGCCCAGUACCGAGUGACAAACUGGUGCACGUGUUCCGCGUGUCAGAGUGACAAACAUGCACGGUGGGAGUGACAAGAGCCAGGACACUGCAUGCUGGACAGAGGAAAAGAUUUUCUCUCUGUUUCCUGCUUCACAGUAGAU